UACGGAGGGUGCAAGCGUUUAUCCGGAUUUUACUGGGCGUAAAGGGCGUGCAGGCGGUCUGUUUUAGUCUAGGGUGAAAGCUCCCCGGCUCAACUGGGAGAGGUCCUUGGAUACUGGCAGACUUGAGGGAGGUAGAGGAGACUGGAAUUCCUGGUGUAGCGGUGAAAUGCGCAGAUAUUAGGAGGAACACCGGUGGCGAAGGCGCCGCUCUGGGCCGAAACUGACGCUGAGGAGCGAAAGCAUGGGUAGCAAACAGG
rnacentral:rRNA from 1 species